GUUUUGGGUUUUGCACUUUUGCUCACUGGCGCGUCCAUCAGCAUAUCUCUCUCUCGCUCUUUCUUUCAUUCGCUUUCUUUGCCUUUUCGAAAGUUAAUGGUUUUGUUCGUUUGAUUUUGCUUUACAAUAGGAGAAUCCAAUUACUCAGGCGUUCUUCGACCGGUAUAAAACAGCCAACUUUUCCACAAAGAAAGACGUAUUGAUAAUUUUGGAGGUGAAGUGACUGAAUUGACUGAAGAUUACAUGCUAUGUGGGAUGGAGACUAGAAUCAUCACCCGAGAAUAAAUUUUUACUGCUUUAUGAUAACUUUUGAAUAGUGAAAGCAGCAAAGGAUAUUGAAUUGCUUAUGGCAUAUGAGUUUCCUUCGUUUUUAAAGAUAAAUUUCUUCUAUCUUUGAGUUUCUCUGUUAAUGUAGGUUUUGUAUUCCCUGCAUAAAUACAUUUCUGCAUUGUUGAUCAAUAUCUGCCUGUGAGUUGAGAAAAAUGUUUUCCCUGCAAACAAUUACUAUGCCAAAAUCCUUUUCACCUCUUUGUUCCAUAAAUGCUGAGCCUAAUUGGUUUUUCUUUUCUUCAAUUUAUCCUCAAAUUCCUGCUUGUAAUCUUGCUUUAAGUACUUAUAGUCAUUUGAAAUAUGGGUUGCCCUCUUUGACACCCUGUGGACACAGUAUAAAACUUUUUCCUUGCUUUGCUGCUUCAAUGAAUCCUGAUUCAGAGCCUGACCCUCAAACUAACUCCAAGCCAAAAGCAAAACAUAAAACAAGAACUCGUCGUCUGAAAGCUGUAGAUGCUCAAAAUGAAGAUGAAAAACCUGGAAAAAUCUUCCCAACAACCAUUCCACGCAAGCAAAGGCGUGGUCGUAGGAGUGAAGCUGUUGCAGUUGAAGAUUUUGUACGUAAAUCACUUGAGCAAACAUUUUCAUCAAUCCGACAACAGAAUCCAAAACUUUUAGAGAACUAUGAAAAUAUAAUGAAGGAUAAAGUUAAUGAUGAGGAUUCUGAAAUCAGUGAUGAUGAAGAUGAAGAUGAUGAUGACAGUGAUGAAUAUGAAGAUACACAUGAAGUUGGUAGAGGAAAAGGAAAGAAAAAGAAAAUGGUGGUUAAGGAGGAAGACCCAAAUUGGCCAUUGGAUGCUGAUGUGGGCUGGGGAAUUAGAGCAUCAGAGUAUUUUGAGAAGCACCCAAUUAAAAAUGUUGUGGGAGAAGAUGGAUUGAAAAUUGACUGGGAAGGGGAGACAGAUGAUACCUGGGUGAAAGAGAUUAAUUGUCUUGAGUGGGAGAGCUUUGCUUUUCAUCCUAGCCCACUAAUUGUUCUUGUUUUUGAGAGAUAUAACAGGGCAACUGUUAACUGGAACACUUUGAAAGAGCUAGAGAAGGCAGCCAAAGUGUAUUGGAGUGCAAAGGAUCGACUGCCUCCUCGGACGGUGAAGAUAGACAUCAAUAUUGAAAGAGAUUUGGCAUAUGCUCUUAAAGUUAAAGAAUGCCCUCAACUUUUAUUUUUACGAGGAAACAGGAUCAUUUAUAGGGAGAGAGAGUUCCGAACUGCGGAUGAGUUGGUCCAGAUGAUUGCACAUUUCUACUACAAUGCUAAGAAGCCUUCUUGCGUUCAAUGAUGCAGCCCUAUGUUCCCCUUAUUAAUUUUUCAGAUUGUUGUGAAGAGAUGGCAAAACUAACCUCCUACCUUUUCCUUGUCCUCCUCCUCAUUGCAGCAGCUGAAGAUGGACUGUGUCAGGGAGGAGAGCCUUUCGAGUGUAUAAUUAGCUGGGAUUGCCAAGAUAACGAAAGUUGCAAGAAGGAAUGCAGCACCAAGUACCCCCGAGGUCGGGGAUUCUGCUCCGGUGACCCUAAAGUCUGUUUAUGCGCCUAUGCCUGCCCUCCUCCUCCUCCUCCUCAUUGAUUUGUAUAUGUAAGAGAGUGGAAUGCAAAAAAAUUGUAAUGCUUCGAAUAAAUGUUAAAGAAAACUUAUAAUAACAUAUUGCAAAAUUUAUGUUGGUGCGACCUGUAUUCA